AGUCUCAGAUUCUUCGUACAACGCAUAAAACUUUCGUUUUUUACCAAAUAUUUCUGUGCGAAGGAUCUUAUAUGAGUAAUUUCAUCUAUUGAAAAUUUUUUUUAUCCCUUUUUCAGGGGGA